GGGGUUGGUGCAGUUGGCUAGUGUCCCAGGUUAGCACCCUGUGGUCGUGUGUUCAACUCCCACUCCUCA
rnacentral:tRNA from 1 species